GAUCAAGUGCCUGCAUCAAACAAUGCAAGAGUGAGAUGACACAUCUCAGCAAGUAAAAAGAUCAACAGCGACUGGAUAAUGUAAAUAAGCCGUGCUUAAACAACCACGUAGUUCACAAUUGUCGUCUUGAAUAUUAAAUUGCAGGAAGUAAACAAGUAACCAAUUACUCAGUUCCAAAAUGAAUCACAAAGUAAAGAUCCACACUAUCCACACCACCAUAACAGGUGCCACACUUCAUCUAUGAAUGCACAUGGCUACAGAUGCAGUAAUGACUUCUGCCUUCAUACCUCUAAGGAUAUGAAGCUGCAUCAUACCCUUCUCGGGCAAUGUAUGAUGCUCAUUGUAUCGAUACGGUCGGACCAUAUGAUCGCGACAAAACUUCCAUACAAAGGAUGAUGGAUGCAUUAUACAUGACAACAACAUAAGACCCUUCACCCAACAUGUGGUAAACAUACUUCCACUUCUUCAAAAUGAUAAACAACACGUGUAAUAUGCUCGAACAACAUCUUCAACAUAAGUAAAUAAUGGAACAUGAAUGACUUCGAGCAACAUUUCCCACAAUGGAGUACACGAAUGAAAACAUUUGACAUGGAUGUAAUCAAGUAUAGGACUCACAAAUCAAUUAACGGUAUAAACCACCACUAUUUUACUUGCCUUCACCGGGGAGUUUGGACAAAGUCCUAAGUUUGAUCCGGGAGUCCACCACCUAUUUUUGACACACCACUUAGUGCACAAAUUUUACAUAACAACACUCAUAAACGACGCCGCACCUACGCACAAUUUCAAACCCCGUUGCGGGUGACAACUCUCCCCAACACCCACCAAACUGCAGCGGCGCUGCUUAACAAUUUAAUAUCUUUAAAAUUAUGACAGCAGUGGUAACAAACAAAAACUCCAGAGGUAUCUACACAAAAUUCCCCACAAGUUUUGUAUACAAACGAUAAUUAAAUUCCAAUCCCUAAUUAGCCCAAAAUAGUCCACAAGAUGAACCCUGCAAUCUGUUUUGGACAACAACCUACCCGGAUUCAAACAGCGAUAUCUCCUAAAAUAUAACUCCGAAUCGAGUGCAUAAGUACUCGUUGGAAAGGUAUGACAAAGCUCUACAUGAUUCUCCCACUGAUUCCCACUAAUUACCCACAAAAAUUCCCAGAAACUGCUAGAACUACUGAUGUUCGCCCAUCCACAAAGUUUCUGGACAACACCUCUACCAAUUCGCAUACAUAAACAUCUAAUCAAUUGAAUUGCAGCACAAAUAAACAAGAGGUAAUCACAAAAUCACCUUGAAUUCUCCCUCUUUCCUCCCUCCUUCUUCCUUCCACCAAAUUCCAAUUGGAGAUUUGCACCAACGCGACAUAGAUCAAGUGGGAGGGCUGCACCUAGGAGAGGAGGGGAUGGGGGGGCUAGGGUUGUGAGGUGGUGGCUGCAAGUGUUUGAGGAAGGAGAAGAUGGGAGAAGGGGGGGCAGCCAAGGGCUAGAGAGGGGGGCGGCUGCACAAGGGAGAGGGGAG
rnacentral:lncRNA from 1 species